rnacentral:lncRNA from 1 species
AGCAGUUUGCCUCUGGGUUCAGUUACAAGUUGCUGGAGGGCAGCUGGUAUUAACUCAUCACCAGGGAGAGAGCACAGACAGGCAGGGGCAUGUAGUGCUCACUGGUCCUGUUCCUUCUCAUCCUUCCAGCAACUCCAAGAAAACAAUCUGAACCUAAGACAACAGACGCAGCUGCACCUGGGACAGCAGACACAGCUGGGCCUGGGACAAUGGACACAGCUGUACCUAGAAAAGCAGAAACAGCUGUGCCUGGGAAAAGGAACACAGCUGUGCCUGGAACAGCAGACCCAGCUUCACCUGGGACAGCAGACACAGCAGAACCUAUGAGAACAACCACUCCAACAGUUCUGGCCUCCUGGCCUUCUCUCACCCAGAGCACCAACAGCACCCAGCCCACGGCUCUUACCAGCCCCCUCACCAGGUGAGCAGAGCUGGGCUCCCACAGACCUUUCCCUAGGCUGCCCCAUGACUGCUCCUUCAGAUGCUCUCACCAGGGACCCUCAUGUGGCGCUCGUCAGGGGAGAAACAGUGAAGUCUGUAGUGGGCCUUCCCCUCCCUGUCUACACCUGAGCACUGCAGGAGAUUCUCCCUGAUGAGCUGCAACAGGCUGAGCUCCAGAGAGCAGGCUCUGGGCUCCAUGCUUCACCGAGUCCCUCAAGCCCCAGGAGGCAAAAGCGAGGUGAAGCUUUGGGUGCUCUGGAAGGGCAGCUGUCUGGGUGGCUUUCCUGUGGCUGCUGUAACUGAUCGUUACAAACUUUGUGGCUUAAAACAACACAGUCUCAUGAUCAUACAGCUGUGGAGACCAGAAGUCUGAAAUGGGUCUCACUGGGCUGAAAUCAAGGUGUUAACAGGGCUGGUUCCUUCUAGAGGCUCCAGCGGAGGGCCUGUUCCCUUGCCUUUUCCAGCUUCUGGAGGCCACCCGUGUUCCUUGGCUCAUGGCCCCCUCCUACCCAAAGCCAGCAAAGGUCGGUGGAGUCUCCCACAGAGCAUCGCUCCACUGUCUCUCCUGCCUCCCUCUUUCAUUUAUAAGGACGCUGGUGAUUCCACUGGGCUCAGCCAGAUGAUCCAGGAUAAUCCACCCUGGGUCACCUGACGAGCAGUCUCAAAUCCACCCACUGCCUUAAUUCCCCCUUGCAUGUAAUAAAACAUAUUCACAGGC